GAAGCCCAUAUCAUCAUCGGACUCCUCUUUCUCCACCACCUUCUUUUCUUCCUUCUUCUCCUCAGCAGGGGCUGCAGCAGCAGCUCCACCAGUAGGCGCAGCAACUGCAACACCACCACCACUGGCAGGUACCGAAGCCAACUUUUCUCUGCCUGUGGCAAUCAGCUCAAUGAUGUCUUUUCCCUCAACUUGAGUAGCAACUGCAACACCACCACCACUGGCAGAUAGUGAAGCCAACUUUUCUUUGCCUGCGGCAAUCAGCUCAGUGAUGUCUUUUCCCUCAACUUGAGACAAGAGCAGUUCGAUAGAACACAGCUUGGUUUACGAACCUUAUCCCUUCGCAUAUGAGCUUGGUGAAUGGUGACUGAACUGAAGAGAAGCGGUGCUGGAAAUUAGAAAAUAAAAAUAGGGUUAGCAGAGUUAACAGUUAAGUAACUCAUAUCAGUAUUCAGUAAUAUGCAAAGCACCGAAGGGAUAGGGUAGUAAUAGUAUUAUAAAAUAAGGGCAUAUUUGUCUUUUUAAUAUAUC
rnacentral:lncRNA from 1 species